CCAAUGACAAGUGUCCUUGUAGGAAAGCUAUGUGAAGACACAGAGCGACACAGCGGGAGAAGAUCAAGGGAAGAUGGGGCAUAGGUUAGAGCAGUGCGGUGCGAGCCAAGGAUCCCUGAAGAUUGCUGGCAGCCCCUGACAGUGAGGAGAGAGGCCCAACGCCCUCACAGAUUCCCCCUUAAAACCCUCGAAGGAACCACCCUUGUGGAUACCUUGAUUCCAGACUUCAAGCCUCCAAAACGGUGAUGUCAAAAGGUCCCCGUGACCCUGUCAAAAUGGCUGUACCAAAAAUGUCAUCGUCCAUACUUGCUGAGUGACCUUACACCACUCACAGGAACCCAUGGAGGAUUAGCUUCCUCACCCACAGAUGGGAUUGUGACACCUACCUUGCCUACCUCCUAGAUUCAGUUCAGGCGGGAAUGAGAUGAUGCUGUGAAAGCCUGGGGAGUCUACUGCGUUUCUCGGACCUCGGCUUCUGUGUCUGGGAAGCGAGAAUUCUCCGGUCUGCCUUACAGAACGGUUGCAUCCAAUGCAGUGUGAAGACCGCGGGCAGCGCCUGCUGCGUAGAGAUACUGCAGCGAGGAGCAGCCGUAUCAAGAGCUGCGCCCUCACGGGGAGGACCUGCUCGGUCAUGGGAAAGCCAGGGCUCCCUGCAUCUUGGAUUCACAGUCUCCACGGAGACUUCCCCGAUUCCAGCCUAGCGAUGGUUGUUUCCCCUGCCCCUCGUCUCAGGAAUGUGACUACCAUGCUAGCUGGGGAUGGAAGACAAAAAAACCAAUCCCUGAUCAUCCCAAGUGAUGGAGUUGGCCUACUUUGUCUGUUUGACUCCCGCCCUACUCUGGGCAUCGGUUAGCCCAUAAAGGAGGGAGCUGUAAAGACUUGGGGCUGCCCCAUUUCCUUCCAGACCUUCCCUCAGAUCUUAUCUCUGCCCAACUCCAAAUUAUAGGCCCCGAGACUCUAAUCUUGACUCUGCUCUGACCCUUUGAACUUGUACUGGCCCCUCCCCCUGGCAGACGUCAGCUUCCCCUAACGCACCCUGAUGUGGCAGCCGGCUCUACUUCCGAUGUCACCCCUGACUCCAGCCACUUGGCCAACACCCUUGCCAGGCUGGUCCCUUUUUUCCCCAAGAUGGGGUCAUCAGGCUGGGCAUCCUUCCUGCUGAACCCCAAGCAGAAAGUGUUACAGGAGUUCCGAGGAAGGAGAGGUCCCUGAGAGGGGUAGUUGGGGGAGGCAGGGGGAGGCAGGGAAGUUUAUGAGGAAGAGUGGGGUCCAAUCCUUGACAUCAGAGUGGGAACAGGACAGUCUUGUAUGCUUUCAUGGCUUAGCUCAGGGAUUGGCAAAUCACAGCUCUAGAGCCAGAUCCAGCUAA